rnacentral:rRNA from 1 species
GACGAACGCUGGCGGCGUGCUUAACACAUGCAAGUCGAACGGUGAAGCGCCUUCCUUUUUGGUGGGUGUGGAUGAGUGGCGAACGGGUGAGUAACACGUGAGUAACCUGCCCCCUUCUUCUGGAUAACCGCAUGAAAGUGUGGCUAAUACGGGAUAUUCUGGGUCUGUCGCAUGAUGGGUCUGGGAAAGAUAUUGUUUCGGUGGGGGAUGGGCUCGCGGCCUAUCAGCUUGUUGGUGGGAUGAUGGCCUACCAAGGCGGUGACGGGUAGCCGGCCUGAGAGGGUGGACGGUCACACUGGGACUGAGACACGGCCCAGACUCCUACGGGAGGCAGCAGUGGGGAAUAUUGCACAAUGGGCGCAAGCCUGAUGCAGCGACGCCGCGUGAGGGAUGGAGGCCUUCGGGUUGUGAACCUCUUUCGCCAGUGAAGCAGGCCUGCCUCGUUUGUGGGUGGGUUGACGGUAGCUGGAUAAGAAGCGCCGGCUAACUACGUG